rnacentral:rRNA from 1 species
AUUGAACGCUGGCGGCAGGCCUAACACAUGCAAGUCGAACGAGUGGCGGACGGGUGAGUCAUGUCUGGGAAACUGCCUGCUGGAGGGGGAUAACUACUGGAAACGGUAGCUAAUACCGCAUACCAUCGGAUGUGCCCAGAUGGGAUUGGCUAGUAGGUGGGGUAAAGGCUCACCUAGGCGACGAUCCCUAGCUGGGCUGAGAGGAUGACCAGACACACUGGAACAGAGACACGGUCCAUACUACUACGUGAGGCAGGAGGGGGGAAUAGUGAACAAUGGGCGCAAGACUGAUGCAGCCAUGCAGGGUGCAUGAAGAAGGCAUGCGGGUUGUAAAGUACUUUCAGCGGGGAGGCGUUACCUGCAGAAGAAGCACCGGCUAACUCCGUGCCAGCCGCGGCGGUAAUUC